UGAGGAAUAUUGGGCAAUGCCCGCAAGGGUGACCCAGCAACGCCGCGUGGAGGAUGAAUGUCGUAAGAUUGUAAACUCCUGUUAGAGGGGAAGAAUAGUACCGGUUGGACCGGUAUAUGACUGUACCCUCAGAGAAAGCCCCGGCUAACUACGUGCCAGCAGCCGCGGUAAUACGUAGGGGGCAAGCGUUGUCCGGAUUUACUGGGUGUAAAGGGCGCGCAGGCGGGAUGGAAAGUCAGUGGUGAAAUCCUACAGCUUAACUGUAGAACUGCCUUUGAUACUUUCGUUCUUGAGUUCGGGAGAGAGAGACGGAAUUCCAGGUGUAGUGGUGAAAUACGUAGAUAUCUGGAAGAACACCAGUUGCGAAGGCGGUCUCUUGGUCCGAUACUGACGCUGAGGCACGAAAGCGUGGGGAGCAAACA
rnacentral:rRNA from 1 species